rnacentral:rRNA from 1 species
GACGAACGCUGGCGGCGUGCUUAACACAUGCAAGUCGAACGGAAAGGCCCUGCUUUUGUGGGGUGCUCGAGUGGCGAACGGGUGAGUAACACGUGAGUAACCUGCCCUUGACUUUGGGAUAACUUCAGGAAACUGGGGCUAAUACCGGAUAGGAGCUCCUGCUGCAUGGUGGGGGUUGGAAAGUUUCGGCGGUUGGGGAUGGACUCGCGGCUUAUCAGCUUGUUGGUGGGGUAGUGGCUUACCAAGGCUUUGACGGGUAGCCGGCCUGGGAGGGUGACCGGCCACAUUGGGACUGAGAUACGGCCCAGACUCCAACGGGAGGAAGCAGUGGGGAAUAUUGCACAAUGGGCGGAAGCAUGAUGCAGAAACGCCGCGUGCGGGAUGACGGCCUUCGGGUUGUAAACCGAUUUCGCCUGUGACGAAGCGUGAGUGACGGUAAUGGGUAAAGAAGCACCGGCUAACUACGUG